UUUAUAUCUGUUACAUCUGUGAGAUUUUCCUUUGGUUAGAUCGUUUCCUUGCAUCUCUGUUCAGCUCAUUCAUGUUUUUAGUCACCACUCCCUGCGACAGGCAGCCCACAAUCAGCUUCAUCCGAAACAUACCGUUGGUCAUGCCAAGCCUGUCUACGGCUGUUCUGCCCAUGUCAAGUCUGCCUAUGUUUGUGUCUGCAUCUGCCACGUCCCACCUGCUUGCAACCGUCUCUUAACCAAACAUCUUCACCUGCAAGAAAAACUGCAGCUGAGAAAAUAUUGCAGAUGAAAUAACAUCUUUCUGGGUCAUCAACAACUUCAAGCCAAGAAUCACAAAGUGCUCAUUAGUGUCAGAGAGAGGAACACUUGAGUCAUUCAUCAAAUGAGCGACAGGAAGCAUGGUGACACUCUGCUCAGAUCAAACACACCAACUGCAGCAGAAAGCAGACAAACCUGAGCUCUUUAUUAGCUGCCCUUCAAAGGAAAACGUCCAACAACGCUCAACUUCACAAAAGAAGCCCAAUGUUCUCUUCAUUCCAGCAAUGAUUUAUUUUCCUCUUGUUCAUUUCUCAUUGCAGUAGGGAAAUGCUUGUCUCUUUGCAUGCCCAGAAAGUAAAGUUUUGUCCAGACAAACACGUUUCUUCACAUCUAACUUGAUUAUAAAGUAACACAUCAUAUAUUACUGUGAAACAAGCAGUAGGAGGUCAAGCAAGAAGUUGAUGAAGACUCUGAUGAACACUGUGUCUCAGCAUGACCUGAGCUGCCACCUGGACCUGCAUGUAAAUGACC